rnacentral:misc_RNA from 1 species
GAUGAAGAACGCAGCGAAAUGCGAUAAGUAAUGUGAAUUGCAGAAUUCAGUGAAUCAUCGAAUCUUUGAACGCACAUUGCGCCCGCCAGUAUUCUGGCGGGCAUGCCUGUCUGAGCGUCAUUUCAACCCUCAUGCCCCUAGGGCGUGGUGUUGGGGAUCGGCCAAAGCCCGCGAGGGACGGCCGGCCCCUAAAUCUAGUGGCGGUCUCGCUGUAGCUUCCUCUGCGUAGUAGCAACACUCGCACUGGAUCGCAGCGCGGCCACGCCGUUAAACCCCCCACUUCUGAAAGUUUGACCUCGGAUCAGGUAGGAAUACCCGCUGAGCUUAAGCAUAUCAAUAAGCGGAGGA